rnacentral:rRNA from 1 species
GAAUGCAGCGCUCUUAGUGGGCCAUUUUUGGUAAGCAGAACUGGCGAUGCGGGAUGAACCGGAAGCCGGGUUACGGUGCCCAACUGCGCGCUAACCUAGAACCCACAAAGGGUGUUGGUCGAUUAAGACAGCAGGACGGUGGUCAUGGAAGUCGAAAUCCGCUAAGGACUGUGUAACAACUCACCUGCCGAAUCAACUAGCCCCGAAAAUGGAUGGCGCUGAAGCGCGCGACCUAUACCCGGCCGUCGGGGCAAGUGCCAGGCCCCGAUGAGUAGGAGGGCGCGGCGGUCGCUGCAAAACCUGGGGCGCGAGCCCGGGCGGAGCGGCCGUCGGUGCAGAUCUUGGUGGUAGUAGCAAUUAUUCAAAUGAGAACUUUGAAGGCCGAAGUGGAGAAGGUUUCCAUGAGAACAGCAAUUGGUCAUGGGUGACUCGGUCCUAAGAUAUUGGUAAACACCUUGCAAUUGAGCUUUGGCUCGCGAUCGAAGAAGGGAAAAUGAGGUUAAUAUUCCUCAAGCUGGCUAUGGAUGUCACGGUAACGUUUGUGAGCUCGGUGACACCAGCGCGUGCCUCUGGAAGAGUUAUCUUUCUUUGCUAACAGUC